CUUCUCGUCCCCGUCUUCUUCAGA
rnacentral:miRNA from 1 species